rnacentral:rRNA from 1 species
UGGGGAAUUUUGCACAAUGGGGGAAACCCUGAUGCAGCGACGCCGCGUGAUUUAGAAGGCCUUCGGGUUGUAAAAACCUUUUGUAUAGGAAGAAAAUGACAGUACUAUAAGAAUAAGGACCGGCUAAUUACGUGCCAGCAGCCGCGGUAAUACGUAAGGUCCGAGCGUUGUCCGGAAUCAUUGGGCGUAAAGGGUACGUAGGCGGGUAAGCAAGUUAGAAGUGAAAUCCUAUAGCUCAACUAUAGUAAGCUUUUAAAACUGCUCAUCUUGAGGUAUGGAAGGGAAAGUGGAAUUCCUAGUGUAGCGGUGAAAUGCGCAGAUAUUAGGAAGAAUACCGGUGGCGAAGGCGACUUUCUGGUCAUCAUCUGACGCUGAGGUACGAAAGCGUGGGUAGCAAACAGG